rnacentral:tRNA from 1 species
GGGCCCAUAGUUUAAAGGCUAGAAUAUCGCAUUUGCAAUGCGAUGAUGGCAGUUCGAUUCUGCCUGGGUCCACCA